CAGCCGCCGCGGUAAUACGAAGGGUGCAAGCGUUAAUCGGAAUUACUGGGCGUAACGCGUGCGCAGGCGGUUUUGUAAGACAGGCGUGAAAUCCCCGGGCUCAACCUGGGAAUGGCGCUUGUGACUGCAAAGCUAGAGUGCGGCAGAGGGGGAUGGAAUUCCGCGUGUAGCAGUGAAAUGCGUAGAUAUGCGGAGGAACACCGAUGGCGAAGGCAAUCCCCUGGGCCUGCACUGACGCUCAUGCACGAAAGCGUGGGGAGCAAACAGGAUUAGAUACCCCGGUAGUCCCUGUCUCUUAUAC
rnacentral:rRNA from 1 species